rnacentral:rRNA from 1 species
CAGCAGCCACGGGAAUACGUAGGGUGCAAGCGUUAAUCGGAAUUACUGGGCGUAAAGCGUGCGCAGGCGGUUAUAUAAGACAGAUGUGAAAUCCCCGGGCUCAACCUGGGAACUGCAUUUGUGACUGUAUAGCUAGAGUACGGCAGAGGGGGAUGGAAUUCCGCGUGUAGCAGUGAAAUGCGUAGAUAUGCGGAGGAACACCGAUGGCGAAGGCAAUCCCCUGGGCCUGUACUGACGCUCAUGCACGAAAGCGUGGGGAGCAAACAGGAUUAGAUACCCGCGUAGUCCCUGUCUCUUAUAC